rnacentral:rRNA from 1 species
CACGUAGGGUGCGAGCGUUGUCCGGAAUUAUUGGGCGUAAAGAGCUCGUAGGCGGUGUGUCGCGUCGGCCGUGAAAACCUGCAGCUUAACUGUGGGCUUGCGGGCGAUACGGGCAGACUUGAGUACUGCAGGGGAGACUGGAAUUCCUGGUGUAGCGGUGGAAUGCGCAGAUAUCAGGAGGAACACCGAUGGCGAAGGCAGCACUCUGGGAGCGUGACUGACGCUGAGACGCGAAAGCUAGGGGAGCGAACGGG